rnacentral:rRNA from 1 species
AUUGAACGCUGGCGGCAGGCCUAACACAUGCAAGUCGAGCGGAUGAAGGGAGCUUGCUCCUGGAUUCAGCGGCGGACGGGUGAGUAAUGCCUAGGAAUCUGCCUGGUAGUGGGGGAUAACGUCCGGAAACGGGCGCUAAUACCGCAUACGUCCAGAGGGAGAAAGUGGGGGAUCUUCGGACCUCACGCUAUCAGAUGAGCCUAGGUCGGAUUAGCUAGUUGGUGGGGUAAAGGCCUACCAAGGCGACGAUCCGUAACUGGUCUGAGAGGAUGAUCAGCCACACUGGAACUGAGACACGGUCCAGACUCCUACGGGAGGCAGCAGUGGGGAAUAUUGGACAAUGGGCGAAAGCCUGAUCCAGCCAUGCCGCGUGUGUGAAGAAGGUCUUCGGAUUGUAAAGCACUUUAAGUUGGGAAGAAGGGCAGUAAGUUAAUACCUUGCUGUUUUGACGUUACCAACAGAAUAAGCACCGGCUAACUUCGUG